GGCCGUGAGGGUGUGGGGUGUAGGUCCGCCAGGCCUGCAACGGCUGCCGAGGGUCGUGGGAUGCGCUCGCCGCGUCCCUGCUCAGGCGGAGGGAGCCCGGCCCGCCGCCAGGGUCUCGAGUCCGGGUCCAGGCAGGCGUGGAGGUGGCGGGAACGGCGCACCGCCCGGGUGGGCGUUGUUUUAAGGCCGCAGGGCUUGGGAGGCUUGUGUUGAGUUACAGGUCGGCCCGUAGAUCCCCGGAAGCGCCUUUGGUUGCCAGCAGGUGUCGGCGAGGGUCUUCAGUGGCCACCCUCCUGGUGGUGAUGUUUCCGUUUCUUUCCAACAGGAGUAUGACAACUUUUCAACUUGAGUGCACACACUGUCCCCGGAAUCCCGCGUUCCAGGGAGGAAGCGCCUUUGACAGCGCGCGCCGGUUCGUGGGGCCCGACGGCGUGGGCCUGUGGUUGCGGACCUGGCGGAGAUGCGCGUUCGCUUCGAUUGUAGGCCAUUCCUUUUAGGAGCUGAGAAAGGAUCCGUUUUUACAGCAUUCUCGACCUGUGAUUCUUGGUGGGGGAAACUAGUUAUGUGGAUAAAAAUACAGUUAGCAAAAUAAAAAUGCCAAUUUUACAUUUCC
rnacentral:lncRNA from 10 species